AAAGGUCAGUAAAUAGUGGUGAUGUCAUGCAGGCAAGAUGGCGGAAGGGGAGGACGUGGGAUGGUGGCGGAGCUGGCUGCAGCAGAGCUACCAAGCAGUCAAAGAGAAGUCCUCUGAAGCCUUGGAGUUUAUGAAGCGGGACCUGACGGAGUUUACCCAGGUGGUGCAGCAUGACACGGCUUGUACCAUCGCAGCCACGGCCAGCGUGGUCAAGGAGAAGCUGGCUAUUGCAGCCUGUUCCCGGGGCGCUUGCUUCCUCUGCCCAUUCUCUAUACAGACGGAAGGCUCCUCAGGAGCAACAGAGAAGAUGAAGAAAGGGUUAUCUGACUUCCUAGGGGUGAUCUCAGACACCUUUGCCCCUUCGCCAGACAAAACCAUCGACUGCGAUGUCAUCACCCUGAUGGGCACACCGUCUGGCACAGCUGAGCCCUAUGAUGGCACCAAGGCUCGCCUCUAUAGCCUGCAGUCGGACCCAGCAACCUACUGCAAUGAACCAGAUGGGCCCCCAGAAUUGUUUGACGCCUGGCUUUCCCAGUUCUGCUUGGAGGAGAAGAAGGGGGAGAUCUCAGAGCUCCUUGUAGGCAGCCCCUCCAUCCGGGCCCUCUACACCAAGAUGGUUCCAGCAGCUGUUUCCCAUUCAGAAUUCUGGCAUCGGUAUUUCUAUAAAGUCCAUCAGUUAGAGCAGGAGCAGGCCCGGAGGGACGCCCUGAAGCAGCGGGCGGAACAGAGCAUCUCUGAAGAGCCCGGCUGGGAGGAGGAGGAAGAGGAGCUCAUGGGCAUUUCACCCAUAUCUCCAAAAGAGGCAAAGGUUCCUGUGGCCAAAAUUUCUACAUUCCCUGAAGGAGAACCUGGCCCCCAGAGCCCCUGUGAAGAGUAUCUGGUGACUUCAGUUGAGCCCCCAGCAGAGGUGACUCCAUCAGAGAGCAGUGAGAGCGUCUCCCUCGUGACACAGAUCGCCAACCCGGCCACUGCACCUGAGGCACGAGUGCUACCCAAGGACCUGUCCCAAAAGCUGCUAGAGGCAUCUUUGGAGGAACAGAGCUUGGCUGUGGAUGUGGGUGAGACUGGACCCCCACCCCCUAUUCACUCCAAGCCCCUAACGCCUGCUGGCCACACCGGCGGCCCAGAGCCCAGGCCUCCAGCCAGAGUAGAGACUCUGAGGGAGGAGGCGCCCACAGACUUACGGGUGUUUGAGCUGAACUCGGACAGUGGGAAGUCUACACCCUCCAACAAUGGAAAGAAAGAGACAAGGUCUCAGUUCACUGUUGAUUUCCUCUGGAAGAUUUCUGUGACUCUCUUGGAGCCUCUGGGCCAAAGUGCUUCUCCACUCUUUAGUAACCUGCCUUUUCCGAGGCUCAAGCACGGACAUCAGUGAGGACUGGGAGAAAGACUUUGACUUGGACAUGACUGAAGAGGAGGUGCAGAUGGCACUUUCCAAAGUGGAUGCCUCCGGGGAGCUGGAAGAUGUAGAGUGGGAGGACUGGGAGUGAGGGAGCCAGAGGGAGCAGCUCCCCCACCCAUGGCAUCUCUCGCCUCCCUCGCUCGUCUCAGCCCAGCCCUGGAAGACUGAGAAUGUUCCCCCAAAUCUCCUCUGCCAACCAGAGCUCUGGGCACAGAUUCUGGUGGCUCCCUGCUGGCCCUCUUGGGCCUCUGCUCACGCCUGGGAAGGGGCUCUCUAAAUCCCGGCCAGAAACUCUGACUUGUGCCAACAAUAGGAUGACCCAAGGGAGAGGAAACCUAUCCUCCUCACCAGAAGAGCCUGUGUUUUUCUGCUGAACACCCACUGUUCCUGAGGACUCCUGCUGGGAAGUCCCAAGGGAUAGUUCUAGCCCUUCUGCCUGUGUAGACAGAAGCUAAACCACCAGUUUCUCGGAGGAACCUGAGACAACAUACUCUGUCCAUACAUAAGCAGGCAGGGAGGGCCAUGCCACCUACCCUUGGCUAAACAGGGACAGCGAACACAUUUUGGUUCCUAUCCCAGUGGGUAAGAGGCACUUAUCGCUGGGAAAUUUGCCUCUCUUGGGAAUCUCCCCCUCCCAGGCAUUUUCCAUUCCUGGAAAGGCUCCUUUGGGGUUCAGAAUCCAGAGACCAAACCCUGACCCACCUCCUUCCUUUCCUCCAGCCCACGCUGGUCUGUCCCCAUGCCUUCCCAGGGCUGCUUCAUGUCAGAUGCACCCAAGUCCUUAGCCCAACUGUGCCACCUGCAGGAGUUCGCUCUUGCGUUUCUUCCCCUCCCCAAGAAGGGAGGGGGCCACUUCAGGCCCUUCUGUGUGUUGCCUGGCAGGAUACCUUGUCCAACCAGCUACCCACCUCAACUCCCCUGUAGCUUAGGACACAAAACAGCUACCAGCGGUACAGAGCGGUGAUCAAAGCCGAGUACUUACAACUCUGGUAAGCCUAGCUUCUCCGCCUCAGCCCUUCUGCUUCUAGAAGGGCUAUCCUGGGGGUGAACUUGAAACUCUCAUCAGGCUUCUGCAAAAGCUCUUCUUCCUGAAGACAGAACCAGCCUUUGUGCUCUCACCCUCCACUCUGGUAAAGCUGCACCUCUGGGGGAAUGAGGGGCUGCAGGAAUCUCUGGAGAGCCUGGUGCUUCACGAUGCUGCUCUGGUGAUUCUUGUACCUAAUCUGGUGUGCUCACCAAUGAGUGAAAGGGAUCGUGGGUCAGGGACACCAAGAGAGUGAGGUCACUUCCACUUCAAACCUUCAGUGAGGGGGUGGGAUGGAGAGAAUGCUGAAUCUUUUUUUUGACGGGAUGGGGUUUUUCUCUUUGUAAUUAUUUCUUUAGUUUAAUUAACCUUUUGGUUGUUUGUGCAAUAUUAUAUAUUUUAAAUUAUAAUGCAUCUCCCCAGAGUAUUUUGUAGCUGGGAAAAGAAAAAAGGAAAAAAAGAAAAAAAGAUUCUAACAGCUGUUAGUUUUAUAAUUAAAAAAGAAAGAAAAAAGAACUUUGUCCUGAACCUUUUACAGACUUGCCGUUAACAGCAUUAAAGUGAUUCACCCAAAGCUGAAA